rnacentral:misc_RNA from 1 species
CCGAGUGAGGGCCCCCGGGCCCGACCUCCCACCCUUAUGUUGAACACCCUUGUUGCCUCGGGGGCGACCCGGUCCUCGGACCCGGCCCGCCCCCGGUGGACCAUUGAACAACUCUUGCAUUUGUGCGUCGGAGUAUUGAAGCAAAUUGAAACGA